CUGGACAAUCAAACUGGAUCUCUGACCAUCACAAACAUCACAACUAAACACGCAGGACUCUAUGAAGUACAGAUUAGUGGAUUGACACCAUCAAAUACAUUCAGUUUAAAAAAAUUAAAUCAUUCAGUUUCUGUCUAUGCUCGUCUGCCCAUGCCUAACAUUACCAGAGAUUUUUCACAAAAUCUUUCAUUAUUAUCAUCAUCAAAUUGUUCAUUGCUGUGUUCAGUGGUGAAUGUGAGUGAUGUGACUCUCUCCUGGUACAAAGGAAACAGUUUAUUGUCCAGCAUCAGUGUGUCUGAUCUCAGCAUCAGUCUCUCUCUACCUCUGGAGGUGGAAUAUCAGGAUAAAAACACCUACAGCUGUGUGAUCAACAAUCCCAUCAGCAACCAGACUCAACAUCUGGACAUU